AUUGAACGCUGGCGGCAGGCCUAACACAUGCAAGUAGAACGAGUGGCGGAAGGGUGAGUAAUGUCUGGGAAACUGCCCGAUGGAGGGGGAUAACUACUGGAAACGGUAGCUAAUACCGCAUACCAUCGAAUGUGCCCAGCUGGGAUUUGCUAGUCGGUGGGGUAACGGAUCACCUAGGCGACGAUCCCUAGCUGGUCUGAGAGGAUGACCAGCGACACUGGAACUGAGACACGGUCCAGACUCCGACGUGAGGCAGCAGUGGGGAAUAGUGCACAGUGGGCGGAAGCCUGAUGCAACCAUGCCGCGUGUAUGAAGAAGGCCUUCGGGUUGUAAAGUACUUUCAGCGAGGAGGCGUUACUCGCAGAAGAAGCACCGGCUAACUCCGUGCCAGCAGCCGCGGUAAUAC
rnacentral:rRNA from 1 species